rnacentral:rRNA from 1 species
UUUUAGAAAUUAAUUUAAAGUCUAACCUGCCCACUGAAUUUUUUUUAAAUGGCCGCAGUAUUCUAACUGUGCAAAGGUAGCAUAAUCAUUAGUCUUUUAAUUGAAGGCUGGAAUGAAUGGUUGGAUGAAAUAUUAACUGUUUCAUAAAAAUUUAUAAUAGAAUUUUAUUUUUUAAUCAAAAAGUUAAAAUAUAAUUAAAAGACGAGAAGACCCUAUAAAUCUUUAUAUUUAAAAAAUUUUAAUUACAUAGAUAAAUUAAAUUAUAAUUAUUUUAAAUAUUUUAUUGGGGUGAUAUUAAAAUUUAAUAAACUUUUAAUUUAUAAUUAACAUAAAUUAAUGAAUUAUUGAUCCAUUUAUUAUGAUUAUAAAAUUAAGUUACUUUAGGGAUAACAGCGUAAUUUUUUUAGAGAGUUCAUAUUGAUAAAAA